rnacentral:sRNA from 1 species
ACACUGGCUAUUAACCAAUCAAAACCCCGGAUUCUUACAUAAGGUGUAAUUAUUAUUGAAUAAUAAGCUUUUAAUAAUAAUUACACCUUAUGUAAGAAUCCGGGGUUUUGAUUGGUUAAUAGCCAGUGUAU